UACGGAGGAUCCAAGCGUUAUCCGGAUUCAUUGGGUUUAAAGGGUGCGUAGGCGGAAUGAUGAAGUCAGUGGUGAAAUCCUUCAGCUUAACUGGAGAACUGCCAUUGAUACUGUCAAUCUUGAGUACAUUUGAUGUGGGCGGAAUGUGUCGAUGUAGCGGUGAAAUGCUUAGAUAUGACACAGAACACCGAUUGCGAAGGCAGCUCACAAAACUGUAACUGACGCUGAAGGCACGAAAGCGUGGGUAUCAAGCAGGAUAGAAA
rnacentral:rRNA from 1 species